GAUGAACGCUGGCGGCGUGCCUAAUACAUGCAAGUCGAGCGAACGGACGAGAAGCUUGCUUCUCUGAUGUUAGCGGCGGACGGGUGAGUAACACGUGGAUAACCUACCUAUAAGACUGGGAUAACUUCGGGAAACCGGAGCUAAUACCGGAUAAUAUUUUGAACCGCAUGGUUCAAAAGUGAAAGACGGUCUUGCUGUCGCUUAUAGAUGGAUCCGCGCUGCAUUAGCUAGUUGGUAAGGUAACGGCUUACCAAGGCAACGAUGCAUAGCCGACCUGAGAGGGUGAUCGGCCACACUGGAACUGAGACACGGUCCAGACUCCUACGGGAGGCAGCAGUAGGGAAUCUUCCGCAAUGGGCGAAAGCCUGACGGAGCAACGCCGCGUGAGUGAUGAAGGUCUUCGGAUCGUAAAACUCUGUUAUUAGGGAAGAACAUAUGUGUAAGUAACUGUGCACAUCUUGACGGUACCUAAUCAGAAAGCCACGGCUAACUACGUGCCAGCAGCCGCGGUAAUACGUAGGUGGCAAGCGUUAUCCGGAAUUAUUGGGCGUAAAGCGCGCGUAGGCGGUUUUUUAAGUCUGAUGUGAAAGCCCACGGCUCAACCGUGGAGGGUCAUUGGAAACUGGAAAACUUGAGUGCAGAAGAGGAAAGUGGAAUUCCAUGUGUAGCGGUGAAAUGCGCAGAGAUAUGGAGGAACACCAGUGGCGAAGGCGACUUUCUGGUCUGUAACUGACGCUGAUGUGCGAAAGCGUGGGGAUCAAACAGGAUUAGAUACCCUGGUAGUCCACGCCGUAAACGAUGAGUGCUAAGUGUUAGGGGGUUUCCGCCCCUUAGUGCUGCAGCUAACGCAUUAAGCACUCCGCCUGGGGAGUACGACCGCAAGGUUGAAACUCAAAGGAAUUGACGGGGACCCGCACAAGCGGUGGAGCAUGUGGUUUAAUUCGAAGCAACGCGAAGAACCUUACCAAAUCUUGACAUCCUUUGACAACUCUAGAGAUAGAGCUUUCCCCUUCGGGGGACAAAGUGACAGGUGGUGCAUGGUUGUCGUCAGCUCGUGUCGUGAGAUGUUGGGUUAAGUCCCGCAACGAGCGCAACCCUUAAGCUUAGUUGCCAUCAUUAAGUUGGGCACUCUAAGUUGACUGCCGGUGACAAACCGGAGGAAGGUGGGGAUGACGUCAAAUCAUCAUGCCCCUUAUGAUUUGGGCUACACACGUGCUACAAUGGACAAUACAAAGGGCAGCGAAACCGCGAGGUCAAGCAAAUCCCAUAAAGUUGUUCUCAGUUCGGAUUGUAGUCUGCAACUCGACUACAUGAAGCUGGAAUCGCUAGUAAUCGUAGAUCAGCAUGCUACGGUGAAUACGUUCCCGGGUCU
rnacentral:rRNA from 1 species